GAGGAAGUAAAAGUCGUAACAAGGUUUCCGUAGGUGAACCUGCGGAAGGAUCAUUAUUGAAAUAAACCUGAUAAGUUGUUGCUGGUUCUCUAGGGAGCAUGUGCACACUUGUCAUCUUUGUAUCUCCACCUGUGCACCUUUUGUAGACCUUGGGUAUCUCUCUGAUUGCUUUAGCAACUCAGGAUUGAGGAUUGACUUUCUGUCUCUUCUUACAUUUCCAGGCCUAUGUUUUUCAAAUACCCUAAUGUAUGUUUAUAGAAUGUAAUCAAAUAGGCCUUYGUGCCAAUAAAUUGAUACAACUUUCAGCAACGGAUCUCUUGGCUCUCGCAUCGAUGAAGAACGCAGCGAAAUGCGAUAAGUAAUGUGAAUUGCAGAAUUCAGUGAAUCAUCGAAUCUUUGAACGCACCUUGCGCUCCUUGGUAUUCCGAGGAGCAUGCCUGUUUGAGUGUCAUUAAUAUAUCAACCUYUUUUUUUKGGUUGGAUGUGGGUUUGCUGGCCACUUUGGAGGUCAGCUCUCCUUAAAUGCAUUAGCGGACAAUAUUUUGCCAAACGUUUCAUUGGUGUGAUAAUUAUCUACACUAUUGACGUGAAGCAAGGUUCAGCUUCUAACAGUCCA
rnacentral:rRNA from 1 species